UAUCUGUAAGAUAGUUAGAAACAUGCAUGGAAUGAAGAGCUGAGCAUUUUCUACCUGUAGAUCAAUGUCAGCAAAAGUCCUGAUUAAAACAGAAAAUGUGGCAUUAAAAUAAGAAGCUAAAUGUGAACAGUACUUCUGCUUGGAGAUGGCCCUGUCAUCAGCUCAAUCCCAAAGGAUAGCCAGGAAAAAUGUAACAAAGGGUAAUUCUCAAUACUAUAAUUUCCCACUAAAUCUUUCCUCAUUCUUAAAAAUUUCUCAGGAACGAAAAAACUUUUAGAAUGGUGUAGUGUGUGAUGACAUAGCAUUCUUCUUAAUCUCCCUUCUUUCUGAUUUAUUUGC
rnacentral:lncRNA from 1 species